UAAUACGUAGGGGGCGAGCGUUGUCCGAAGUUACUGGGCGUAAAGCGCGCGUAGGCGGGUUUUUAAGGCUGGUGUGAAAGGUUCAGGGCUCAACCCGAACAGGGCACUGGCGACUGGGAGCCUGGAGUGGGGGAGAGGGAGGCGGAAUUCCGGGUGUAGCGGUGAAAUGCGUAGAUAUCCGGAGGAACACCGAUGGCGAAGGCAGCCUCCUGGCCUCUGACUGACGCUGAGGCGCGAAAGCGUGGGGAGCAAACGGGAUUAGAUACCCCGGUAGUCCACGCCGUAAACGAUGAGUGCUAGGUGUCCGGGGUAUCGACCCCCCGGGUGCCGCAGCUAACGCAUUAAGCACUCCGCCUGGGGAGUACGGCCGCAAGGUUG
rnacentral:rRNA from 1 species